GCUUGGAUAGCUCAGUUGGUAGAGCAUUCCCCUGAAGAGGGAAGGGUCGGCGGUUCGAGCCCGCCUCCAAGCA
rnacentral:tRNA from 1 species